rnacentral:rRNA from 1 species
CAGUCGCCGCGGUAAUACGUAGGGUGCAAGCGUUAAUCGGAAUUACUGGGCGUAAAGCGUGCGCAGGCGGUUAUAUAAGACAGAUGUGGAAUCCCCGGGCUCAACCUGGGACCUGCAUUUGUGACUGUAUAGCUAGAGUACGGUAGAGGGGGAUGGAAUUCCGCGUGUAGCAGUGAAAUGCGUAGAUAUGCGGAGGAACACCGAUGGCGAAGGCAAUCCCCUGGACCUGUACUGACGCUCAUGCACGAAAGCGUGGGGAGCAAACAGGAUUAGAGACCCGCGUAGUCCCUGUCUCUUAUAA